GAGGGUAUGGCGAAAUUGGUAGACGCUGCGGACUUAAAAUCCGUUGGCUUUAUAGGCCGUGAGGGUUCAAGUCCCUCUACCCUCA
rnacentral:tRNA from 1 species